rnacentral:rRNA from 1 species
AGAGUUUGAUCCUGGCUCAGAACGAACGCUGGCGGCGUGCUUAACACAUGCAAGUCGAACGCGAACGAGUUCUUCGGAACUUUAGUAGAGUGGCGCACGGGUGAGUAACGCGUAAGUAAUCUACCCUGGUAUCUGGGAUAACCCACCGAAAGGUGUGCUAAUACCGGAUACGCUGAUUUAUCAGGAAAGGUGGCCUCUUCAUGAAAGCUACUGUACCAGGAGGAGCUUGCGUACCAUUAGCUAGUUGGUAGGGUAAUGGCCUACCAAGGCAACGAUGGUUAGCGGGUCUGAGAGGAUGAUCCGCCACACUGGAACUGGAACACGGACCAGACUCCUACGGGAGGCAGCAGUGAGGAAUAUUGCGCAAUGGGGGAAACCCUGACGCAGCGACGCCGCGUGGGUGAAGAAGGUUUUCGGAUCGUAAAACUCUGUUGUCAGAGAAGAACAAGUUGGAGAGUAACUGCUCCAGCCUUGACGGUAUCUGACCAGAAAGCCACGGCUAACUACGUGCCAGCAGCCGCGGUAAUACGUAGGUGGCAAGCGUUGUCCGGAUUUAUUGGGCGUAAAGCGCGCGCAGGCGGACUGAUCAGUCCGGGGUGAAAUCUCACGGCUCAACCGUGAGGGGUCCCUGGAUACUGCCAGUCUUGAGGGGCUCAGAGGAGAGUGGAAUUCCGGGUGUAGUGGUGGAAUGCGUAGAGAUCCGGAGGAACACCAGCGGCGAAGGCGGCAUCCUGGACUGGUCCUGACACUCAGGAGCGAAAGCGUGGGGAGCAAACCGGAUUAGAUACCCGGGUAGUCCACGCU